rfam:Oribacterium sp. ACB1 genomic scaffold acqcx-supercont2.1, whole genome shotgun sequence.
GCUUCCGUAGCUUAAGGGAUAGAGCCCCGGCCUCCGACGCCGGUAGUGGCGGUUCGAGUCCGCCCGGAAGCA